CCGCUCAAUUAAGCUGCUUCGUGUCCUCUCUUCACAAGUUCCAAAACACGUGUACAGGUGCACCGUCCUUGCCUCGCAAACGAAUCGAAACACCACGGCUCGUGGCAUCCUCCAACCGACCCCUCCCCUCUGGCCACCUCCGCCACCCUCUCUCCGGCCACCGGCGCCGAGGCGGACGCCCAGGGGCCAGCUCCUCCCCUGCUCCCUCCAUCACCGGCGGCGGCGGCGCUCUGCUCCUCCUCGAGUGCGGCACGGCGGACCUCCGCUCCCCCUUCCCCCUCUCGGCCACGGUGGUCGAGCUCGCGUGCGCGCCAGCCGUCGGUGGCGCAGUAGGGGCCGGCGGCGCAGCAGAGCAAUGGCCCUAUCCCCGGCGAGAUCCACCCCUCUCCCAUGGCGGCGGCCAGAUCCUUCCUCGCGGCGGCGCAUCCUCCCUUCCCGAGCUCGCAGGCGGCCAGCUCAGUGCGGAUCCGCGGCUCUCCUCCCUCCUCCGUCCUGGUGGAGCUCCCUCCCGCGCCGCCGGCCCUGUCGCUGCUCCGCAGCCACGGCCUGCAGCUUGCCUACAGGACACUAAAGAAAAAAUGGGGAUUAGGCGAGCAUCGCCACACGUCGUCGGUCCGCCAGUCGCGUCAGCUCUACACGAUGCCAAACGGAGAUCUAUGCGCCGUCCUUGACUGCGGAAAGCAUCGCCCCCAUCUGGUUCGUCUCUGCCUCCUCGCACUUGCCUUCCCCACCAUCGUCAGGGUCCUCGAGCCGACGCCAGCUAGCUUCCUACCUUCUGCUCAGCUCUCAAUCUGACAAUCUCCUCGGCGUUGACGGCAAAGUUUGGAAAGUGGUGAGCACAUGAAUUCUUUCUUGCUGUCCUCGUGUAUCCAAUGCAAGGAGGCGGAAUAGUGUAUUUUGAGCAAGUAUGCUAAUAAGGUUCAACGAUGGACAGUCGGCGUAAGUUUGGUGAACAAUCAAAUCUAUCUAUCUAUAGGAUUCAGAAGAAGCAAAUCAGGUCAGCCGAUGGCUUUGAUAACGCCUUUUGUUUUUUUUUAUGAAAUUGAUAACCCCUUUUGGUGAUUAUACAUCGAUUGUUCAUCUCUUCCUCUAUUCGUAAAGUUAGCUUCAGAAGGUUUCUACUUCUUUUUCCCUCAAGUUUAUCUUUUUUUUGUUGCCUGAUAUGCGUUGAAACUCAAAUCAUUCUCGUACCGUUUCAUGCUAAUAUCAGAUACUUGCAUAUUAUAGGUUUUCUUAAGCCCUCAGCCGUUGUAUAUGUGUUCAAAAUUAUAUAUGUACCCAUCAUGUCUACUUCAGCCUGUAGAAGCAGAUUUUUUUUCCCACCAUGAAACUCACAGAUGGGAUGGGGCUUUCCUCUGCUUUAAAAGGAUAGUUGCUGACAAGAGUUACAACAACAUGAAGGCACCUCCAAGAGCAGCAUGAAGCAGAGCCAUUAAGUGAAACCUUAUGCAUCUGUACCCUAUACCAUAUUUGUGAGCUAUUGUUGUUUCAUUUUCGCAACCAUGGUGAACCAAAACCUUUUUGCAUAUGAGUAGAUUUUUAAAAGGUGAAAGAUGUAAUUUGCAUUAUGCAUUAUUCUUAUCAAAAAGAAGGGUGUAAUAGGUUAAAUCUUUUUGCUUGCCUA